rfam:Nitrolancea hollandica Lb, WGS project CAGS01000000 data, contig: 00314-1568
GGCCGCGUAUCGGCAUCCGGACGCGAGCCCAAAUGCGUCUAGGUGAAAUUGAGAUGCUCCGCUUGGAUCCGAACGGACCGGGACGGGGGU